rnacentral:lncRNA from 1 species
CUAUUUAUCUACACAACUGCCAUUUCCUUGCUGUUCAGUCUGAAACGUCGUCGUGUCGUUUUUGUUGCAGAUGACGAGGGUGAGACGAAGCAUCUAGAAGCCCUAGAAGGAGCAUCGACGCGUCUCCGUCUCUUCCAGAUCGACCUCCUCGACUACAACUCCAUCUUCGCCGCCAUCAAUGGCUGCUCCGGCGUCUUCCACCUCGCCUCUCCUUGCAUCGUCGAUCAAGUCCAAGACCCCGAGGUUGCUUCAUCUUCACAAAAAGGCCAUAAAAGAAGCUCAAUUCUUUGUAAUUAUGAUUAUAUUUAGAUGAAAUUGUUGUGCUUUUUGUUAUACAGAAGGAGCUUCUGGACCCGGCGAUCAAAGGAACGCUUAAUGUUCUGACGGCAGCGAAGCAGGCUGGGGUCAGGCGAGUGGUGCUGACAUCCUCCAACGCCGCCAUCAUUCCCAGCCCUUGCUGGCCGUCCGAUAAGAUCAAGGGUGAGGAUUGCUGGACCGAUAUUGACUACUGCAAGCAGAAGGGAGUGAGUUACUGAGUGCCUAAGUUCUUUGUUAUUAUAGUUUGAAAUUUUGAAAAUUGGGGACUGUGAUGUGAUGCUGAUUGUGUAUGGUGUUCGGUUAGUUGUGGUAUUCAUUGUCGAAAACUUUGGCGGAGAAAGCUGCGUGGGAAUUUGCCAAGGAGAAGGGAUUGGAUGUGGUUGUGGUGAAUCCUGGCACCGUGUUGGGCGAUGUCAUUUCGCCCAGGCUCAAUUCUAGCAUGGUGACGCUAGUGCGCCUUCUUGAGGGUAUUGUUCUCUGCACAUUUGUGUUUGAAUAUCUUCUAGGAUUACACCUGGAAGUAGAUUGUUGACUCCAUCCAAUUCUCAUAUGUGCAGUCUUAUUUGAAUACUCUAUUAUUGUGUAAUGUUCUGUUUCCUGAUAGUUUGCCAUGUUAUGUUGCCAAAUUGUUGAUCGAAAUCAUACAUUCAGAUCAGACAUAGUUUUGCAUUUGAUUGACAGUUUGUUUGAUAACAUAACAUCUCUAUAGUAAGAGAACAUUUCCCAUUUAUUAUUUGUGGUAACAUGAGACUAAGGUGACCACGUUCUUAUUGAGGCUGUAGUUGGUAGAUGAACCAGGAAUCAGGUGGACAUUAGAUAUUUUCUGAAAAGACAUUUCUGCUAAAGAAAGGUUUGUGUUUGGUGUUUAAAAUCUUGAAGUAUUUCUUCAUUUAUAAUACUUGAGUUUGUUUGAAGUUUUUUGCUUAGUUAACCCCCAAGUUUGGAGAAGGUGUAUUGCAUGAGAAUAAGUGUGUGUGGCAAUAGAGGAAUCCUUUUGCACCUCUUUGCUAGCAAGCAAAUACUUGGCUCCUUUCCUGCAAAUCACCCUUUCACAUGUGUGCAGAAUUUAUUUUUAUUUUUCUUUCUUUCGAGCGUUUAAUGAGUUAUCUUUGCACACGUGUGAAGCUGUGAUUCGCAAGUACAUAGGACUGGCUUCGUCCAGAUACGAAGCCAUGCAGAGUCCCUGCUAGCAUAUGUUUCUCUUUAAGUUUGAUAGUUUAUGUCAUUAAAGGGUCGGUUUUUGGUUUCCUUAAAUUGUUUAUCCAUGUCACCUUAUCUCUUCUUCUGGUUAGUGGAGGACUGGACAGGAGGGUAAUGGCCCUAGAGACAUCAUGGCUGAAGUAAAAAGGAAAAUCGAUCAACCUUAAAAAGAAAAAUAAUUGACAAUAUCCUUGUCAAUCUUUGCUGCAGGCUGCACUGAAACAUACGAGAACAUCUUUAUGGGAUCUGUGCAUUUUAAAGAUGUAGCUCUUGCACACAUUUUAGUGUAUGAGAACAAAUCGGCCACUGGUAGACACCUGUGCGUUGAAGCUAUAUCACAUUAUGGUGACUUCGUGGCCAAGGUAGCUGAACUUUACCCUGAGUACAAGGUGCCGAGGUAAAUUCCAGUCCUUGGACACCUGUAAAGUGGUUUUGCAACUGAAUCUAUGUGCAUAUAUAUAUUUUUCCAUAACUAUGUGCAUAUAUAUAUAUAUUUUUUUGCCAUAACUAUGUGCAUAUCUUAAGUUUAGGAGUUUGGUUUCCUGAUAACAACAAUAAGCAUCAGAACGUCAAAUAUGCAGUAUUGUGAAACUGAUACCCUAUGUUAUAAUUGAUAGCAAAACAACAGAUGAUCAAGCUCGACCUCAUCAUAACACAGCUACAGCUCAAUGUACUGAAAUUAUGUUCUCACAAAUGGUUCUAACUGAUUGUAUUUAGUUAGACAGGUUGAGUGAUUUUAGGGAUUAGUCUGUAACUGUAUUGCUAAAGCUUACUAUAAAUACUUGUAAAUCCUUCUCCAUAAAUUAAUGAGAGAAAAUCUGUUAUUUUACAAUAAUUAUUGUCAAGACAUCAAAUGCUUCCUUGCAACUUCUUUAACUGCCAGUACUCCUUUUACAGUCAUUUCAUGAACAUAUGGCUUUGAAAUUGCUCAAGCUAUUAAUAUGUUUAUUAUUGUGCAGUUUGCCGAAGGAUACCCAACCUGGGUUGCUGAGGGAAAAAAAUGGAGCGAAGAAGCUAAUGAACUUGGGUUUAGAAUUCAUUCCCAUGGAUCAAAUCAUCAAGGAUGCUGUUGAGAGCCUAAAGAGCAAGGGAUUUAUUUCAUAAACGAAACUGAAGGAUAUGAAACUUAUGAGGAACCUAGUUAUUGUAGAAGUGGUGAGGACAUGCAACCUAAAUGAUAUAGUUAAUGGAUUGUGUUUAAUAUUAUGUACCAGUCAUGCCUCCGUGCAAUCUGUAUAUGAAUAAAUAAGCAACAUUUGAAUGUUCAUAAUCUUUUAUGAUGUGGUAUAACAUGGGUGAAAGGAUGAGUAAACAAUACAAGUACCGGCCCGAGUGGUUAAGAAUUUGACCCUUGUUGGAAUUGUUCUCAUUAUGGUUCUGCUAUCUGUGAAAUUUCCUUCGAUGCAUAUCAAUCUCAGGUUCUUGCAAUUUUCUUAUUGUGCUGUUUUAGGCGGUCUACAAGCAGCCUGUGUUGGCUGUGCUGGUUUUGCUGCAUUUUCAGUGCUGAUAGAGAAGUUUUUGGAUAGACAUGAUUGAAUUUGAGGGCAUUUCUAUGUUGCCCCAUUUUUGCAGACUAAAAGUGCACAGAUCAGUAGGAGAGAAAUAGCAUCUUGGCCUGCAGUAAUACAGAUGUUUUGCUUAGAUUCAACUUCAGCCCUUGUUAUUAUUAUUUAUCCCCUUUUAUAAAGGGAUGUACCAGCUAAAUUACAAAGCCAAUCAUUUUGUAUUAUGUUAUUCUGUUGACUGCAGUUCCAGUUUCAUAAUUUCAACAGAGGAUAUGUAACUGAGGAAAUUGAAUGGAUUAUAGAGAAUGUUUGCUGCAAGAUUCAAGUAAGUACGUAGAAGGGAAUUUCUUGUUCCAUUGUUGUAUUAAUACCACAAUACAAUACUAGACUAGAAAUGGUAAUGAAUUUUUUUUUUUUCUCUGAUUGACGAAAGAGGGGAUUCGAACUUGAGAUUUCUUCUUUCCAUUGGAGGAUAAUACUCUUUAAGUAGUUAUUGCGAGAGAAAAUUUGUGUCUUUGAUUGGAAAAACUCGGGUGAGAAUUUCCUUAUCACAUGGCAGGAUGAAUGUCAAACAUUGACCAGUUCUAACAUAACAUGUGUUUAUAACACACGCUAUAGCACGUGACAAGGAAGAUCCACCCUAUCAAAAAUUGAGAGUCACUAGAAUGCACAAGUAAUUAAAUUUCUACCAUGAAAGUAAAUUUUUUUUAAAAUUUAUUAUAACUUAUUCUAAAAAAAUAUCAGUGGCAAAUUAAAUUUUAGGUGCAAUAGUAGAUCAUGAUAUUGUAUCUUCCUUUUGGCAUUCGAGUUUAAAUCUCUCUCCCUGUAAAUUAGAGUAGUUUAGAAUAUUAUCCAUUCUUCAAAAUAAAAAAUUAGACAUGGGUAUCGAAGUUCUUUUCGGCUUGUUUUAGAAGGUUCUCCGACGUGGCCCAAAUCCAACUGGUCACCAGCAACAAGUAGCUGAAGUAACUGUAACCAAGCAAAGCUCUCCUCUCGGAAGAGGUACUAACUAGGAACGAUAAUAUGUCGAAGACAGGUGAGGUCGUAUGCGUUACCGGUGGAAGUGGGUGCAUUGGAUCAUGGCUCGUCCGUCUCCUCCUCGACCGUAAUUACACCGUCCAUGCCACUGUCAAAGAUCUCAGUUAGUUUACCCUUUGCCUUUUCUAUUUAUCUACACAACUGCCAUUUCCUUGCUGUUCAGUCUGAAACGUCGUCGUGUCGUUUUUGUUGCAGAGGACGAGGGUGAGACGAAGCAUCUAGAAGCCCUAGAAGGAGCAGCGACGCGUCUCCGUCUCUUCCAGAUCGACCUCCUCGACUACAACUCCAUCUUCGCCGCCAUCAAUGGCUGCUCCGGCGUCUUCCACCUCGCCUCUCCUUGCAUCGUCGAUCAAGUCCAAGACCCCGAGGUUGCUUCAUCUUCACAAAAAGGCCAUAAAAGAAGCUCAAUUCUUUGUAAUUAUGAUUAUAUUUAGAUGAAAUUGUUGUGCUUUUUGUUAUACAGAAGGAGCU